GAAAACAAAAGCUUAACAGGAACUGCACGCUAUGCUAGUUGCAAUACCCAUUUGGGAAUAGAUCAGAGUCGUCGGGAUGAUUUGGAGUCACUUGGAUAUGUUCUUCUGUACUUCUUAAGAGGAAGCUUUCCUUGGCAGGGUCUAAAAGCUGCAACAAAGAAGCAAAAAUAUGAUAAGAUUUGUGCGAAGAAGCUAUCAACUCCCAUUGAGGUGGCUGAAAAUGUGAAGUUGAUUUCUCAAAUCACAGAUGUUUUUAGGACUCUUCAAGAUUCCCCAGUAGAGGAUAUC